CGAACGAUGAAGCCGCUUCGGUGGUGGAUUAGUGGCGAACGGGUGAGUAACACGUGGGCAAUCUGCCCUGCACUCUGGGACAAGCCCUGGAAACGGGGUCUAAUACCGGAUAUGACACACGGCCGCAUGGUCUGUGUGUGGAAAGCUCCGGCGGUGCAGGAUGAGCCCGCGGCCUAUCAGCUUGUUGGUGGGGUGAUGGCCUACCAAGGCGACGACGGGUAGCCGGCCUGAGAGGGCGACCGGCCACACUGGGACUGAGACACGGCCCAGACUCCUACGGGAGGCAGCAGUGGGGAAUAUUGCACAAUGGGCGAAAGCCUGAUGCAGCGACGCCGCGUGAGGGAUGACGGCCUUCGGGUUGUAAACCUCUUUCAGCAGGGAAGAAGCGCAAGUGACGGUACCUGCAGAAGAAGCACCGGCUAACUACGUGCCAGCAGCCGCGGUAAUACGUAGGGUGCGAGCGUUGUCCGGAAUUAUUGGGCGUAAAGAGCUCGUAGGCGGCUUGUCGCGUCGGAUGUGAAAGCCCGGGGCUUAACCCCGGGUCUGCAUUCGAUACGGGCAGGCUAGAGUUCGGUAGGGGAGAUCGGAAUUCCUGGUGUAGCGGUGAAAUGCGCAGAUAUCAGGAGGAACACCGGUGGCGAAGGCGGAUCUCUGGGCCGAUACUGACGCUGAGGAGCGAAAGCGUGGGGAGCGAACAGGAUUAGAUACCCUGGUAGUCCACGCCGUAAACGUUGGGAACUAGGUGUGGGCGACAUUCCACGUCGUCCGUGCCGCAGCUAACGCAUUAAGUUCCCCGCCUGGGGAGUACGGCCGCAAGGCUAAAACUCAAAGGAAUUGACG
rnacentral:rRNA from 1 species